UACGAGUGGUGCAAGCGUUAUUCGGAAUCAUUGGGCGUAAAGGGUGUGUAGACGGCAUGUUAAGUCAAUUGUUAAAUUCUUCGGCCUAACCGGAGGCAAACAAUAGAUACUGGUGUGCUAGAGGGUGGAAGAGAGAAGUGGAAUUCUCGGAGUAGCGGUAAAAUGCGUAGAUCUCGAGAGGAACACCAAUGGCGAAGGCAGCUUCUUGGUCCAUUUCUGACGUUGAAACACGAAAGCGUGGGGAGCAAACAGG
rnacentral:rRNA from 1 species